UGUAAAUCUAUAUCGCUCGAAGAAAGGGAGCCCAUCCGGCGCUCGGCGCGUCCUUGCUGCACACCUGUUCUCCAUGCGUCGCUGGCAGCCAUCCGUACUUCGCGUUGGUCGUACGCGAUGCGAGGAACAUGCCGCGGGAGGCCUCCUUGUCCGGUGAGCUAAUCGUGUCUGCCUGGUUCAUCUUUUUGCGCCCUCUCCCUCCCUUCUCUCUCUCCCUCUUCCUUCCCCCACCGCGCCGCCACUCUUCCGCCACCGGCUUGCCCUCCUCGAGCUCCACCCCGUGGCGCGGACCACGAAGCUCGUGGCGGAGGUCGAGGACGCGGCGCGGCCCCCUCCUCCUGCCCAGCAGCGCGCGGAGGGAGCAGCUGCGGCCCGCCUCGGUUCAUCCGCCUCGCCGGCCGGCAGCUCCUCUCCCGCGGCGGUCCAGCCUGGAGGCGAGGCGGCGGCAGCAUCAGGCCCGCGGCAAGGAGGAGCGGGGCGCGAAGGAGGAGCAGCAGCGGUGGUCUGUGCCUGCUCCUCCCGUGUCCAUGGUCGGGGCGGCCGGCGUAGGCGAGCGGCGUGCAGGGGAUGGCUCGGCUUGCUACUUCUCCGCCGUUGCAUCCAUGGCUGGCAGCGGUGCGGGCGGAUCUCUAUCCAAAUCGGACGCAAUUACUCCUAUGGCGCUAGCAGGCAGCAGCUGGCUCUGUUCGGCCGGACGGACGCGGAGAAGAGAGAGGUAGGUCGUGCAAAAGGCGGAGCGCCACGACGAAGCUGUCGGAGCUGCGGUCCUCCUUCCGCUUCCGCCCCAACAGGCCGCAGCGGCCGCGGCCCUCUACAUGCUCUGCACGGUGGCGGGCCCGUCUCCAGCAAAUGAAUCAUCUGCAGCAAUCCCGUCGUUGCGAAUUCCCGUCGCGGCUCCCCUGCUAGCUAGACUGCUAGAGGCUGGUCCUUCACGUGAGCAACCUCUUGCAACAGCUACUCGGCUACGUCUCCGCUCGUCUGUCAACCAUAUGUGCUCGACCAUUCAGCUAUUCCCAAUGAGGCAUCUCUGUGGGUGAUGAAUACAUUUAAUAGCAAAAGGAAAGGAUCAGAUCUGCCAUUAUAAAAUAUUUCCACUACAAACUGCAGAGUACUUGAACAUUUGAUUUCCCUUCUGACAUUGCAAUUACAAAUAGGUUCCUAUACUUCUGCAUAACAAAUAGAAGUACAAAAUGCAUAGCUAUAUUUCUGAAGAUAUCAGUAAAUAAGCUAGCAGAGAAAACUUUAUUUCCAAAUUAAAAUUAUACAUGAUUAGGCUUACCAGUUUAUUCAUAGAGCAAAGUGUAACAUGUUGGUGCAGUUUUUAACCUAACUUGAAAUACAUGACACAUGUUCUAUGAUACCCAAAGUUACAUGACUUCUGAUUAGUGGAUCAGAUUGGUAACUGUGUCAUAACAUGUAAUUAAUGGUUUUUUUCUAAAUUGGUUUCUACUGCAAUCAUUUUAUGCUGUUAAUAAUCAUAGAACUGUAUUGUCAUUUACAUGCUUGGCUGAAAGUUAUGGUAGACAACCUACCAAAUUAAAAUAUUCUUAGAGUAGCAGUCAUAGGGAGACAUGACAUUCAUAAAUUUUUCUAAUAACAUAGGUCUGCGGUUAUAUGGUAUCCCAGAGGCUGUAAAAGAAUCAAAUAUGGAUAUGUGAUAGGGCUGGACUUCAAAAUUAUGAGUAUGAUCUAUUGCAGUCA